UUUGAUCUGCUGUUGGUGUUACGUAAAGACGACUCUAUAUACCAAACAGGAACGCAGAUAUGAAAAAUUCCAAUGAGUCUGUUUAAAAGAAAAGGUCCAACUCCGGUAGAAGUUGCUCAAGAAAAUGAUAUCAAACAAAACAUCACAAAGGAACUCUCUACAGCUGUCAAGAAGCUCCAACAGGAGCAACAACUGAACUCGGAUGAACCAAUCCUCAGCACUGAUUCAGCAAAUGCAAUUUGUAACAUUCUUGAAAGCAUCUUCCUUCAUGGCUGUAAGCCGCCAGUUUCCAAAAAGAUAGCAAAUUACAUUGGUAUAAAUCAGGGAUAUGAAAAUGGAGCCCAACAAAUUAAUUUCUGGAUGUUUUGUGAGCGGUUUACCCACAGUGAUGUUAUAGCUCAGUUGAAACGGUUAGCUCAGGUCAACUCAGAGAUUGGUCUGUGCAGGGCCUGGAUUCGUGUUGCGCUCAACGAUGGGUUAAUGGAGAGCUAUGUGAAUGCCAUGAUGGCAGACAAGAAAUCCCUGGAGUACUUUUAUAGCAGUACAUCUUAUUUUAGAGACCAUGAACAGCCUGAAAUAUUUCUUUCCUACUUAAAAGGUUUGAUGUUGUACGAGUUCCGGCUUUCCUACAACUCCAGUGUGCUAAACAACUGGCCAAACUCCUCCCUCGUGAUGGCGGGGCUAAUUGACGCAGAGAACACGCCCCUUCCUGUUAUUCAUCCUCAAAGAGCAAGCCUAAAGAAAAAUGAGACAGAACGGAGAGAUGUCGGGGUCGAGUCCAUACAUCCCAUCAACCGACAGAAGAGCAAGUCCAAAAAGAGGACUAGUCUAGAGGAGGGAGGGGAGUCAUCUCUCCCCCAGGGAAAGUCUGUCUCAGAAUACAGCUCUGAACUGACCCAGGAGGAUGUGGACAAAAUUCGAGGAAUGAAACCAAGAAACAAAAGUAGGUCCGAGUGUUCCAGUUCCAGUCGAGUAUCCUGCCCUGACCCAGUGAAAUACAAUAAGAACCCUGCCUUGUAUGUAGCAGACAGGGGAAAAGACGACGAGCCCAUGUUUGAUUUAGGUGAUGAUGCAGAUGUCUCAGGUCAGGAUAUUGGUAACAACGAUUUACAAAGCAAAGAACAUAUUGAUGAAGAGAUUGAUCCAAUGUUCUCUAGUGAUAAUCCCCACCUGGGUUCAGAUCUUAGUUCUCCAGACAAACCCUCCUUAAAUGACCCUAGCUCUUAUGGAGAGUUUAGUUACUCCAGUGUUUCAGGAGAGCUUUUGGACAGUAAGGACUUAGAAGAAGACACUUUCCUUGAUUCUGAGGGAUCGGGACUUCCUGUAAGUCCGAUGGGAGUAAAUGGAUAUGAGGACAUGCGUGAAUGUAUCGAAGAAACAAAUAAAGCUGACAGUCCAUUUGAGGAGACCCAGCCAGUCAUGAUCUCAGAGAACAAACCCAGUGAUUUCCCAGUCAGUCCGCAGCAGCAAGACUUUGUGAAUGAGCGAAUCUUACAGGACAUUCUCAACACAGAACUGGGUAGUCCAAGUGACAAGAGAGAUAAGAAAAUUACGAGUGAUUCUUCAUGUGAUAACAGUUACACUGGGUCUCCACAGGAUGAGAAUAAAGUGAGGAGAAAGUCGAGGAGUAGGAGAGAGAACCUGAAGCCAGAGCUCGGUGCAGGGACCAGGAAUAUUGUUCAGCCUCAGCUCUCCCCAGCGGUCGCCGAUGCUAUUGAGACAACCAUGAUGGAUCAGACCACACAAAAAAGGUUCUCUAUCAGUGACACAGAGGUCAGUGAGCAGGCUUCCUCAUCACCAAGACGACCAAGAUCUGGUGCCCUGUCAGUUUGCUUGGAACCAGAAAAUGAUGAGGGCAUUGGAAUUGCUUCACCGCCCAGUAUAGGAAAUAGCUUGGGUGCCAAAAGUGGAUGGUCCUCAGACUUUGAUCAACCAACCCAGUCCCAUGCAGUGUCUGGCACAAUGCCUCUCAGAAAUAAAUCUGAGAGUUUUAACUCCCUGCUGAAGAGUUACACCCCCUCCAGCCAAGUUGCUUCCCCUACCAUGGCCGAUGUACUUCAGGAGCUCCCAGAGCAGACUGACUACUCCCCUUCAUCCCCAGAGGUGGAUCGAAGAAUUUCUGACCCUCAGGAAGAAGACUUUGAAAUAAUCGGUGACCUUGACUCGGAGGGCUCAGAGAGAGAUCCCAAUAACCAGACUUUGUUACUUGGAGUGAUAACCACAGAGAAAGGCCUGGAUGCUCAAAAUUAUCAAUGUGGCAGCUGUAAAAGACCCAUUGGAUUCAUCUAUGGAAAGCCAAGAGUAUGUACCUUUGAUGGGAAGUACUACUGCUUUGAGUGUCAUGAAAACGAUGAGUACUACAUUCCUGCCCUGAUCAUCCACAACUGGGACUUCAGGAAACACAUCGGUCCGACUUUUUGUGCAUUAUUAGUUAUUGAGUGAUAAACUGCAAGGCAAAUGGAAUUUAUCUCAAAAACUGUUCAUCAUAUUUGUAUUAAUGUAAAGAUAAAAACUUCUGAUAACAUUUUCAUUGCCCUGAUUUUCAGACACACAAUAUUUAAAAGAAUUAUCAAAAUGGUACUGCUAACAGAUUGACAGACUCUUCUUAUAGGGAUGAAGACAGCUAGCACAUGUAACACAGUUGUGAGAUAUGUCUGUACAGUGUGUUUAUUUACUCUCUACCUUCUACAGUUUCCAAGAAAUCCCUGACUUUUCUACAAGAUGUUGAAGAUCAUUCUGUCAUUGACAUUUCUUCAGUGAAUCCCAAACUGUACGAACACAUCACAGAAAUGGGCCAGCUACAGGAAUUGAGAAAGCAGCUCUGCCAUUUAAAGACAUACUUGUUCACAUGUAAACAGUCCAUUGCUGAUGAAUUUCGGAAAAGCAUGUGGCCAAAAGAAUAUUUAUACGAGGGUGUUCAUAAUUAUACACUGGCUGACUUGCUGCAAGUGCCAUCAGGACAGCUAGCUCAGAGCCUGAAGAAGUCCAUCAAGUUUGCAACAAAGCAUGUGUUUGAGUGCCCCUUGUGUAGUGGGAAGGGCUUUAUCUGUGAACUCUGUCACAACCCUAAGGUCAUCUAUCCAUUCCAGACUGAUGAUACCAUCAGGUGUUCCAAGUGUAAAUCUGUAUUCCAUAAGUCUUGUAAACUGGAUUCCAAAUCCUGCCCUAAAUGUGAACGACGAAACAAACGGAAAUCAAAAUCGGGGGAUACCCUUGAGACCCCCGACAUUCAUGACUACGCCUUCUCGCCCCAAUUUGUCUCUUGAAGAGACUCUUUUUUACCUUAUAUAAUUAUACUUUAAGCUUAUAGAUAUCAGCUGUUUUUAUUUUUGAUUUAUUUUAGUUUAAUUUUUAACCGGGAUUUUGGCGGCAAUGUUUAUUUAUUUUCUUGUUUUACAGAAAAGUAUUUUAUAAUCUUAGACCUAGAAUGCACCAAGGUUUUGUUUACACAAAUCAACUUUUAAAAAAUGUGAAUCACGCUUUGCUGAAUUUGAAGAUCAAUGUACCAUAAGUGCAUGUGCUGCAAUAUUUCUUUUAAUUAGUACGUAUUCAUUUGGUGAAUUAGUUUUAUAUUUCUGUUGUGUAUUGUUUCAGUGUUUAAUGUAUAUAAGUUAAUUUCACAUGAUAAAAUAUCACAUUUGUGAUAUUUCUACAUACCAGUGUUUCCAAUAUGUAUAUACAUGUAUAUGAAUAAUAAACUAUUUUGUUAUUGUUUAACGUUAUUUUAAAAAUCUGCAUGUACUUGUAGAUUGCAUGUAAAUUGUAUACACUUUAUGUGAUAAUAAAAUUGUAAUUUUUAAAAUU
rnacentral:misc_RNA from 1 species